GAUGAACGCUGGCGGCGUGCCUAAUACAUGCAAGUCGAGCGAACAGAUAAGGAGCUUGCUCCUUUGACGUUAGCGGCGGACGGGUGAGUAACACGUGGGUAACCUACCUAUAAGACUGGAAUAACUCCGGGAAACCGGGGCUAAUGCCGGAUAACAUUUAGAACCGCAUGGUUCUAAAGUGAAAGAUGGUUUUGCUAUCACUUAUAGAUGGACCCGCGCCGUAUUAGCUAGUUGGUAAGGUAACGGCUUACCAAGGCAACGAUACGUAGCCGACCUGAGAGGGGGAUCGGCCACACUGGAACUGAGAAACGGUCCAGACUCCUACGGGAGGCAGCAGUAGGGAAUCUUCCGCAAAGGGCGAAAGCCUGACGGAGCAACGCCGCGUGAGUGAAGAAGGUCUUCGGAUCGUAAAACCCCUUUAUUUGGGAAGAACAAAUGUGUAAGUAACUGUGCACGUCUUGACGGUACCUAAUCAGAAAGCCACGGCUAACUACGUG
rnacentral:rRNA from 1 species